AAAGUCGUAACAAGGUUUCCGUAGGUGAACCUGCGGAAGGAUCAUUACCAAAAUCUUUGCUUGUGUGUGCCUGACCGCAUCUGCAAACAUAAACCCAUCCCUGUGUACCUGUACCUGUUGCUUCCGCCAGCCUGUGGGCGGCCUCUGUGGCCGCCCCCUCCGGUGCCUGACCCCUUGCUGGGACGGCUGGGGAGCUGCUGGCGGUGAGCCAAAUCAAACGCCUGCCACACCUGUGUCUGCGUCUGAGCUUCAAUGCUACAAAACAAAACAAGUUAAAACUUUCAACAACGGAUCUCUUGGUUCUC
rnacentral:misc_RNA from 1 species